rnacentral:rRNA from 1 species
UCUGGAAACUNUCUGACUUGAGUGCAGAAGGGGAGAGUGGAAUUCCAUGUGUAGCGGUGAAUGCGUAGAUAUAUGGAGGAACACCAGUGGCGAAAGCGGCUCUCUGGUCUGUCACUGACGCUGAGGCUCGAAAGCGUGGGUAGCGAACAGGAUUAGAUACCCUGGUAGUCCACGCCGUAAACGAUGAGUGCUAGGUGUUAGGCCCUUUCCGGGGCUUAGUGCCGGAGCUAACGCAAUAAGCACUCCGCCUGGGGAGUACGACCGCAAGGUUGAAACUCAAAGGAAUUGACGGGGGCCCGCACAAGCGGUGGAGCAUGUGGUUUAAUUCGAAGCAACGCGAAGAACCUUACCAGGUCUUGACAUCCCGAUGCUAUUCUUAGAGAUAGGAAGUUACUUCGGUACAUCGGAGACAGGUGGUGCAUGGUUGUCGUCAGCUCGUGUCGUGAGAUGUUGGGUUAAGUCCCGUAACGAGCGCAACCCUUAUUGUUAGUUGCCAUCAUUAAGUUGGGCACUCUAGCGAGACUGCCGGUAAUAAACCGGAGGAAGGUGGGGAUGACGUCAAAUCAUCAUGCCCCUUAUGACCUGGGCUACACACGUGCUACAAUGGUCGGUACAACGAGUUGCGAGCCGGUGACGGCAAGCUAAUCUCUGAAAGCCGAUCUCAGUUGGGAUUGGAGGCUGCAACUCGCCUCCAUGAAGUCGGAAUCGCUAGUAAUCGCGGAUCAGCACGCCGCGGUGAAUACGUUCCCGGGCCUUGUACACACCGCCCGUCACACCACGAGAGUUUGUAACACCCGAAGUCGGUGAGGUANCCUUUUAGGG